rnacentral:lncRNA from 1 species
AGCGAGAAAACUUCAGAAGAUUUGUCAAGAAGCAGCUGCAAAAGGCGGAUCCUCGGAAACUAACGUGGAUGCUUUUAUCAGAUAUAUCACACAACUUCCCAGCCAUUAAACAGAUUCCGACUGCGUAUCGAAGCUUGCCUAUUACCCUGAAAAUAUUUCAUGGAUGACUAUUUCAUAUAUCUUGUUGAUGAAAAGACGUUUGCCUUGACAUUUGAAUGGUUUGGACAUGAGUCCAUCUUCUUGAUCCAUAAUUUUAAUAAGGUCCGCUGAAUGACUCCUAGGUUUUUAUAGUAAAGCCAUAGUUGUUAUAAGCUUAAAUAAGUUCAUUUUAAAUGUAAAAGAUGGUACACUUGAGCUAAUAAUGGUUGUCACGUAACGUUCAAACUUCAUACAUACGAUGUUUGAACCAAGUAAAGAUGUUUGAAUGCAUAUGAUGGUUCUGAUAGACGAUACCUAGCUGAUCAACAAGAAAGUAACUGUCCGGGGUCAGCUGCAACAAACCGAGAUCAGGUGCAACAAACCAAGGUUAGCUGCAACAAACAGAAGCCGGUUAAGAACGUCUUGAAGAAGGAAGUUAGUUAUUUAGGUUGUUGUAGAUAUAAAUAUAAGAAAACGUUAGUGUACAAAGAUGGAUCACCUUUUCUAAUGGACAAUGAGAAAUAUUGGUUUUUCUAAACCCAGUUUCUAAAACUUUCAUGG